AAUCUGACGGGUCGGCUUAUAAACCUGAAGUCUGAGCAGCUUUUAGGCUCCCGUCAGAUCUCG
rnacentral:pre_miRNA from 1 species